UUUGAGGGAAAGUUGAAAAGAACUUUGAAGAGAGAGUUCAAUAGAACGUGAAACUGUUUAGAGGGAAACAGGUGGGCCCUCGAAGUCUAGUGUCUGGGGCGUUCAGCCCCGGUGUCGUCCGCUUCCGCCGAAGCGGGUGAAGUAGCGCCCCUCACGUGGGGGCGUCGUCCUUUCGCCCAGGAGGUGGUUCGGCCCGGGUGCACUCGUCCCCUUCCAGAGGACGCCGCACCCGAUUCGUAUUUUGUGGGCCGUGAGGGCGGAUACUUUUAUGUGGACUCCGAAUGAGGAUCUCUUCCGCCCGGGUCCGCAGCGGACGGUGGCUUCCGAAUCGUCCCUCCUAUUUGGUGGUGCAGGUGGGUUCUUGAGUAGCCGUGCGCACGCUCCCUGAGCGUGGCCGGUGACUCGCCUCUCCCGCGCCGCUUUGUGAUUUAUUUGGAGGCCGACGGUGUUGCGGCGCAUUAGGUCGGUGCCCCACCCGACCCAUCUUGAAACACGGACCAAGGAGUCUAACAUGUGUGCGAGUCACUGGGUCUCGAAGAAACCCACGGGCGCAAAGAACUUUAUUAUUGUCGGGAUCCCCCGCAUAUAAAAGAGGGGCUCACCGAUGGCCUGCCACUGUCUUACGACAAGAGGCAGAGCCUGAGCACACACGUUGGAAACCGAAAGAUGGUGAACUAUGCCUAGAUAGGACGAAGACAGGGGAAACUCUGUUGGAAGUCCGAAGCGGUUCUGACGUGCAAAUCGAUCGCCUGAUCCGCGUAUAGGGGCGAAAGACUAAUUAAGCAUCUAGUAGCUGGUUCCCUCAGGAUAGCUGGCGCUCGAUCAAAAUUGAGUCACGAUCGGUAAAGCUAAUGAUUAGAGGCCUUGGGGCCGAAACGACCUCAACCUAUUCUCAUACUUUCAAUGGUAGUAGAGUCCUUUCUCGACUUGAAGGUUGGACGGUGGAUGAGAGUGCCUAGUGGGCCACUUUUGGUAACAGAACUGGCGCUGUGGGAUAAACCAAAUGCCGGGUUAAGGCACCCGAUGCAGAGACGCUCAUAAAAGGUGUUGGUUGCUCUAGACAGCAGGACGGUGGCCAUAGAAGUCGGCAUUCGCUAAGGAGUUAGUAACAACUCACCUGCUAAAGCAACUAGCCCUGAAAAUGGAUGGAGCUCCAGCGUCGAGCCCAUACCCGGCUGGUUCUCUAAGUUAUUCUAUUUAUUAGAGAACCGAGUAGGAGGGUCGCAGCGGUGGCGUGGCAGGGCGUGGUGCGAGCCUGUAUGGAGCCUCCGCCGGUGCAGAUCUUGGUGGUAGUAGCAAAUACUCAAUUGAGGACUGAAGUUGGAGAAGGGUUCCAUGUCAACAGCAUUUUUACAUGGGUGAGUCGGUUCUUAGCCAACGGAGUGAUCCGUGCUAAGCGAGACUUUACGAGUCACGCUAUGGACGAAAGGUGAUCGGGUUAAGAUUCCCGAACCCGGACGCGAAAUAAAUGAGACCUCGGUCUCUGGAGCGGUAACGCAAACGAU